UUUUUUUUUUGACAAACACCUCUUCUUUUUUACUCACUCCAAAAGUCUAGCUUUUAAGUUUUAACUAUUGUUUCUAGACUUUCUUGGUCUUUAAUAUGAAUUUAUAAUUAUUUUGGGGUCAAAUCUAAUAACAACAAUUAUUUUUCCCCAAUUGUAAUAACUAUUUAGCCCAUUUUCUUUUCCCUUCUCCACUAUUUCUAGAUAUUUCUUCCCAAUUCCGAAUUACACGUGUGGUUUAAACAAUGCAAUGGGAAAUUAAAUUGCCAUUUUUUUCAUUUUUUUUCUCAAAAUUAUUAAUGAGGUCAUAGAGAAUAAUUCCAAAUUACACAUACAUUUUAAACAACGCAGCGGAAAAUUAAAUUGCCAAUUUUUCAUUUUUUUUCUCGAAAUUAUUAGUGAGGUCAUAGAGAAUGAGACACUAAUUAUGGGCAAAUAGCACUGCGCAUUGCGCGAUGCCACCCACAACUAGUAUAUAAAUGGGUAAAUAGCAAUUAAUCUCCCUGUGGUUACAGACUUAUGCAGAUGACCCCUUGUGGUGCUAAUAUCAGCACAUAACCCCCUUGUGGUUUGAAGGGGGUAGCACCCGUUAAGUUUUUUAACAGAACACGUUAAAUCUCUAAUUUGCCCAUCUAAAUAUAAGUAAUUUGCACAUAUACCAAUUAGCAUUAUUACGUGAAUUCCAUCAGAUUCUUCUUUUUUUUGAAAAGAUUUCCAUCAGAUUCAACUCGACGUACUUCUGUACUCUUAUCCUCUUUUCAUCUCUCUUAAUCUCAUAAAAAAAAUUGAGCUUAUGUACACAAUUCUAAGGAGAAGGAACUAAAGAUAUUCGGAAUGGUAAUUUCAAAGUAAGUUCUAGACAAACACAAAUUUCUUUGAGUGGGGUUUUGCCGUAAACAUGUUUUUACUUAAGAAUUUCGAACUGAAAUUAGGGGUUGUCAAAGGGUUUUUCGAACUGAAAUUUGGGGUUUAGAACUGAUUUUAGAUUUUUCGAAGAAAUUGGGGGUUUUGAAGAGUAAAAUGCAAAAAGUACCCCUGUGUAAUCUGUAAAUAGCAAAAACCCCCUGUGAUAAAUAAACUAGCA
rnacentral:lncRNA from 1 species